rfam:Leersia perrieri chromosome 11, whole genome shotgun sequence.
AGGAGAAGUGAUGAUGCUUAAUCCAUACCACAUCUCUGCAUAUCAGAUGAUGAUCAAUAUACAUCAUGCACUACCAUCUGAUCUCCC